AGCGAACGCUGGCGGCAGGCUUAACACAUGCAAGUCGAACGCCCCGCAAGGGGAGUGGCAGACGGGUGAGUAACGCGUGGGAACGUGCCCCUCGCUUCGGAAUAGUCCCGGGAAACUGGGUUUAAUACCGGAUACGCCGUAUUGGGAAAGAUUUAUCGGCGAAGGAUCGGCCCGCGUUAGAUUAGGUAGUUGGCGGUGUAAUGGACCACCAAGCCUACGAUCUAUAGCUGGUCUGAGAGGAUGAUCAGCCACACUGGGACUGAGACACGGCCCAGACUCCUACGGGAGGCAGCAGUGGGGAAUCUUGGACAAUGGGCGCAAGCCUGAUCCAGCCAUGCCGCGUGAGUGAAGAAGGCCUUAGGGUUGUAAAACUCUUUCGCCGGAGAAGAUAAUGACGGUAUCCGGAGAAGAAGCCCCGGCUAACUUCGUGCCAGCCGCCGCAGUAAAAC
rnacentral:rRNA from 1 species